UUGCCAUGUAAAUAAAAAAAUAGC
rnacentral:siRNA from 1 species